rnacentral:ncRNA from 1 species
GAUCGAGUGGGCGAGGAAUACAAUACCCGAAAGGGGAAUAACUCCAGCUUACUACUAGGCUUCUGAACCACUCGAUCACCAGUUA